rnacentral:rRNA from 1 species
GCUAGGACGAACGCUGGCGGCGUGCCUAACACAUGCAAGUCGAGCGGGGACAUUGCGACAGAUAUGAAGUCUUCGGAUGAAUUUGAAGAUGUAAUGUUCUAGCGGCGGACGGGUGAGUAACGCGUGAGCAACCUGUCCCUUACAGGGGGAUAACACAGCGAAAGUUGUACUAAUACCGCAUAAGACCACAGAGUGACAUCACUUAGGGGUCAAAGGAGUAAUCCGGUAAGGGGUGGGCUCGCGUCCGAUUAGAUAGUUGGUGAGGUAACGGCCCACCAGGUCGACGAUCGGUAGCCGACCUGAGAGGGUGAUCGGCCACAUUGGGACUGAGACACGGCCCAAACUCCUACGGGAGGCAGCAGUGGGGAAUAUUGGGCAAUGGGGGAAACCCUGACCCAGCAACGCCGCGUGAGGGAAGAAGGUUUUCGGAUCGUAAACCUCUGUCCUUGGUGAAGAGAAAGAGACGGUAGCCAAGGAGGAAGCCCCGGCUAACUACGUGCCAGCCGCGGC